rnacentral:rRNA from 1 species
AUGGGUCUCGGCUUGGGGCACUUGUCCGAGGGGUAUGGGAGCCCGCAGCCACCUCCUCCGGUAUCCUUGGUUGACCCUUCGCGGGUUUCAGCGCGAGGAGUUACUAGGGAGGAGGUCGUUGCUUUUGGCGGGAUCCCGGACCCGGCCUCGACGGGGAGGCGGAUGAGUGCUCGCAUUCAGGAGCUUCCGGAGGUUGAUGACAUGCAGCAGAGGUGCGCUAUGAGGGCGGCCAAGCUUCAUGAUGCUGCGAUCUCUACUGGUUAUUUUCCGAGCCACGGCCGUGAUCCGUUCAUGGUCGCUACUCACUCCGAUGGAGGCCAGGGAGCAUUUGGUUACUGGAUCUAUCCGCUGGGAGAUGGUAGCUUGGGAUAUCUUCAACCAGUUUGGAUGGCGGUCAUGUAA